rnacentral:lncRNA from 1 species
AGUGUCAGAAACAGGCAGCCUGACUAGAGAACAAACUACCAAUUAACGAGCGAGGAAACAGGGCCAGAGAAUUGGAACAAAAUACAAGGCUGCCUCUGAAAGGAAUAUCUUUGUGCUGAUGUGUCCAUCAAGAGAACAUACACAGAAGUGACACUUGCCAGUAAUUUGCAAGCAGAUGGAACUUCAAUAUGGCAAUAGAGAAAGAAUCAAUUAGACCAGAGUCUCCUCAGGAAGACUUUCUAUAGCGUAAUUAUCUCUCCAAUUAAAGAGCAACCAAGGGACAACUGAACUGGAGGUUCUGCAGAAUUACAACUAAGCACGCAGCCGAGGAAUCUACUCAGCUUUGAUCUCUUAUCGCUCUGCACACACAGCCCUUUCUCUGUAAGGCUAGCUGCUCUCAGCAUCACUGUGUCUAAUCAAACGUGUCACACCUCCACUGAGAAAAUAUUUACUGGAUAGCUACUAGACAUAAGGAUGCAGAAAUGAAUUAGAAAAAUUCCUCGCCCUUGUUCAAAGCUAUGCUGGCUCUUAGAACAUCUGAGCCCCCACUGUUUCAUCUUUAGAGGAUCCCAGCUGCUGGGGUGUGAGGCCAGUGCUGGAGCCAGCAGUCUCUGACCCAGAAGGGACCUGAGGUGCUAAAGAAAAGGGUACAAGCUGGAAAAGGGGAAAAUGAAUCAUGCUACAGGCCAAGUGUCCAUCACUGAUUCCCAGAGAUGCCCUUUGUGUGGUAGGCACUUCCAUGUGGACUCGCUACAGAGGUCAUAAGACCCUAAUUCCAGAGGGCCCUACCCUAUAACCAGAAGGAAGAACUAUUGCACAGAGAAUCUAAGAAGAAUCUAGACAGACAGCCCUUGCUGGAUUUCUCCACUCUGUUAGCAUUCGAUCAUUUGCCUUUUGUCCAGUCAUAUUUCUGCAUGGCUGUCCAUACUUUGUUGAACCUAAGCACAAAAUGGAAAGUUUUCCCUGUAUCUUUGGGUCGUCAUUCUGAAGGCUCCCAUGUUAUGUAAAACUAUGAUCAAAUAAAUAUGCAUGCCUUUUCUCCUAU